rnacentral:rRNA from 1 species
UACGGAGGAUUCGAGCGUUAUCCGGAUUUAUUGGGUUUAAAGGGAGCGUAGGCGGGUUGUUAAGUCAGUUGUGAAAGUUUGCGGCUCAACCGUAAAAUUGCAGUUGAUACUGGCAUCCUUGAGUACAGUAGAGGUAGGCGGAAUUCGUGGUGUAGCGGUGAAAUGCUUAGAUAUCACGAAGAACUCCGAUCGCGAAGGCAGCCUGCUGGACUGUAACUGACGCUGAUGCUCGAAAGUGUGGGUAUCAAACAGG